rnacentral:lncRNA from 1 species
CGAGACAGUUGCAGGCGAGGGGAGUACCCGGGGCCCUUGCCCUGGUGCGGCGCUGCGCCUGAGGACAGUCAGCGCGCUCUAGGUGGGGCGCCUUGGGGCUCACUGGGCCCGUGUGGAAUGGUCUCCAGAGUCUCCGCAUUUGAAUCUGCAGUAGUGGCGCGAGGUAGCCCUUGGGUAAAGCAGCUUUCAGUGAAUUAAAGCAGCUCACAAUCCAACUCAGGACACAGAGGCACCCCAGCUGAAGAUUCUACCACUGGCAAGCCUGUGAACUUGACAUUACAGCGUCUGCUUUGACUUGCACAACCAGGAGACGGCAUUCUUCUCUGAGUCACUAAAUGCCGGUGUGCAUCCUGUACUCCAGCAAGAGAAGAAGGGAGGAGCUUCUUGGAUGACAAUGGACGUUGCACUGUGCAGGAUGAGGGCAGAGUGUGUGACAUCACCACCACGAGGGUUCAGCGUGAUCUUCUGUGUCUCCCUUCCCAGCCAGCA